rnacentral:rRNA from 1 species
UACGUAGGUGGCAAGCGUUGUCCGGAUUACUGGGCGUAAAGAGCGCGCAGGCGGUCGUUCAAGUCGCGUGUGAAAGCCCCCGGCUCAACUGGGGAGGGUCACGCGAUACUGAUCGACUCGAAGGCAGGAGAGGGUAGUGGAAUUCCCGGUGUAGUGGUGAAAUGCGUAGAUAUCGGGAGGAACACCAGUGGCGAAGGCGACUACCUGGCCUGUUUCUUGACGCUGAGGCGCGAAAGCUAGGGGAGCAAACAGGG